rnacentral:sRNA from 1 species
AACUUGUAUAUUUGUGUGUUUAGAUAGACCAGGAUUAUUUGACCUAAAAGGUAAAGCAAAGUGGGAUGCUUGGAAUGCAUUAAAAGGAAAAUCCAAAGAAGAUGCCAUGAAAGAUUACAUAGCAAAGGUGGAAGAGUUGAAGAAGACUUAUUCAUAAAUGAAAUGUCCAUGACAUGCACACAUUGCUGUUAGAUUUGGACAAACAAUCUGUUUGUUUUUUUAAUUUUUUAAGAAUCAAUUGACAUUUUAACUAUACCGAUGCUUUUUAAUUUGCUUCUUUAGAAAAAUAAAUGAAAUGUUUUA